rnacentral:tRNA from 1 species
CUUCAACUCCACCGUGGCCGUGCUAGACCCUGUGGGGGUGUUCGACUCCCA